CUUCCUCCUGCUCUCUGCUCUGGAGCCACCAUGUGAUCCUGGCAAGAAAAGAUGCCUGUCCUGGCAUCCAUUAAGAUAAGUCUUUAUGGAUGAUAAUUAAGACUGAGAUAGAAUAUAAGAAAUCCUAGUCAAUUGGCCAAGCAGCAUUUGUACCUAAUAUAAGUCUCUUUGUGUUAUUUGGGGCCAUAAUGUGGCAUGGGCAGAACUAGGGUGGCCUGGCAGAAAGCAUCCACAUGGUGGCAGUGCUCUGGCAUAUGUAGUAAAGAUUUAUUAUAACAUGGGGUUGCCAUAGCUUCCAAUUCAUAGGAACUAUACCAUUGUUUCUUAUUUUGUACAGUUCUGCAUGUGUGUGCAUGUAUUAUUAUGUGUCUUUGGUGGUGUUGUCUAGUCUCUUUCUCCUUCCUUGCAUAGGGUAAUAUACUGAUCUUAUUUUUUAUUCUACAAGAGAUUUAAUGAUUACCAUAUUUUAUUGUGUGUGAGAGAGAAUGGGGAGACAGAGGUAGAAAUAUGAGCUGAAGUUCAUCAAGCAUACUUAAUGACAUUAGAUUUACCUAAAGAUUUCUAAGGCUGGAGAAAUGGUUUAGCCAUUAAAGGCUACAUUCACAACCAAAAUGUAAGAUUUCUAACAUUAUAAUUAGCUCACUAAUUGUUGUGUCCAAAUCACUGCACAACCAACAACAGCUUUUACAAAUUCUAUUAUAUGAGAAAAAUGAAUAAAUUGAACAAGGAAAAUGAAAAUGCAACAGCAAAUGCACACUCUAUUAAAUGAUUACAAGUUUAUUAGAAUUUUAAGUAGGGAGAUUUUAUCAAGUCAUUGAGGUAGCAAAACUAUCUGAAAUAGUAGCUUUUUAUGCAUGUGCUACAAAAUCCCAAAGUCAACAUACAUUUUUCUUUUAGAAUCAAGUACUAAUAUUUGGUUACUUCUAAGAGCAAGUAAUUAUUGCUCCACUCUCUUUUAAAAUCUGUUGAAGUGGCUUUCAUCAGGGCUUUAGACUUCUACUCUAAUUUGCCUAGUAUGUUUUUAUUUUUGGUUGUAAGCCUGGCCUUUAACAGCUGAGCCAUUGCUCCAGCCCUACCUAGUAUAUUUUUAAUAAAAAUAUCUGAUUUUUAAAGGGAAAACCAAGAAAUAUGUUCAGUGUUAUCUUCUAAAGAGCAGCAUCUCCUCAGCCAAAAACUGCCCAGGAAUGCCUUCAAGGGCCACAAACAGCCUGACAUUUCACAGGAGAGUUCUGAACAAUACAGCUUACUCAUGGAAGAUAUCUGUGCCCUCCUCCAAACCCCUUCCACUGUGAAAUUUUCCCACACUAUCUUGUGCAUUGAUUAGUUCAGGUUUCUGCCAUCCUUUCCCUUUGGUUCUACAUUCAUACCUUGAACUUGACAUGCUGCUACCCAGCACAGUGCCCUUGAAGAUUUUAGCACCUAUGAUGGAAGCACUUACUAGCAACUGGCAGAGAGAGAUAUCUGAUUUUAGAUUACUCUUAAAUUCUCUUGAUAAUAACAGUGCAAUACUGUGAACUAGUGUCAUCACUAGUGUUUACUGUCUUGACAUGAAGUUCUUUCAGCAAAUUUUUAAGGGUAGCUAGAUAGUUUCAUGACAGAUCAGACUUAUUCAGGCAAUGCCCAUCUAUUUUAUUACUGUUUUUUUUUUUUUUUGCUAAGUGUCAAAGUUCAAAUUUAUGCACAUUGUUACCAAAGGUAGCAAUAACCUAAACCGAGACCUAGAAGCCAGAGAAAUACCACUUCAUAAUUACAUUACCCUAAAAUCACCAAUGGGGGACUGGAGAGAUGUUUCAAUGGUUAAGAGCACUUGUUGUUCUUGCACAAGAUUGGGUUCAGUUCUCAGUGCUCAGCUCUCAUACUAGAUGGCUCACAACCUCCUAUCACCUCAGUCUCCAGAUCCAAUGCCCUCUCCUGGCCUUUUGGGGUAUGUGUCUGGCGCAACCUGUAAAGUAGGCAGAUAAGGAGCUAGCUGUCUGUGGAAGCUCACUUUAGGGCUGUUUGUAGGGUAAGGCCCAUAGAACAUUUAUGUUCCACUUAGUUUUGUUGGGAACCUAAAAUAGCUUUUAUGAAAGUAAGUCUGUUUAGAACAGGCAAAAAAAAAUGUGUACACCUUCCUCUUCAAACUGGGUUAUUUUUUUCACCCACAGUGGAAGCAAAAUGAACUUUCCAAAACCCACCAUUUCCUUGAAGGUACAUGCAAAAUCACAAUCAGUGUCUUCAUUGCCAAUGGUUUUCUAUAAGUAAUGUGUUCUAUGGAUGAAUGUCCAUGCUGCCUGCCUUUCUCUGGGAAGUAAUACCCACUCCUCUGUAGACAGCAACACCCACUUUGUCUAUUGAUCUAAGAAGAAGCCUCAAACUUACAACCAAGCAAAUAAAUAAACAAAAUAAAAACACUCAAAUAACUCCAUAGUGCUUCAUGAAAAAUAGAACAAAAAGUCAUCAGUCUAGGGAAAGGCUGGUGGGGUUUCACUUCUCUGAAUGACCAAAUAUGAGCUUACCAGCCCUAGUUCUUCAAUGCUGACUCCAAUCAUAUCACAUAUUAUCUAACAGUGUGUGAAUAGAGAGGUUUUCAGUUUCUCUUCCACUUUUACUUUGAAGAUAUCAUUUUAUCAUCUUUACAACCUGCCUAGCUUUAUUAUGAUCUCUAAAACAGAUGUACUUUUCAACUGAAUAGCUAACAAGAGUAAUACUUUGGUUUAUGCUGUUUUCAUCUGGCAUUUUCUACAUAAAUGACUAAUUCAUUAGUUUUCAUACAAAAAAGGAAUGAUUUUGUUCUUUUGUGAAAAAUAUCAAUUGGUUGAGCAGGAUAUGAAUUGGAUGAGUGCUUCAUUCAUAAAUGAUGAUAAAUAAGAAUGACUAAGGAAGUAUUAAAGGUGAAAUCAUAUACCAAUAUAGUGCCACACAUUGACUCUCAUAUUUCCAAUUAACAGAUGUAUUCAUGAGAAACAUAAACACAUUCAUUUCCUGCCUCUUUUCUGUCUAAAACUUGGCCAGAUCCCCCUGUCUGUUUUGACUAUAUGACUUCCUCUUUUUUUGUUUGUUCGUUUGGUUUUGUUUUUUCCUCCAUUUUUAUUUAAAUUAGAAACAGAAUUGUUUUACAUGUCAAUCCCAAAUACCUCUCCCUCCCCUCCUCCCCUGCCCCCAACUAAGAUGCUAACUAUCCCAUACCAUUUCUGCUCCCCAAGGAGAGUGAGGCCUUCCUUGAGGGUUCUUCAGAGUCUGUCAUAUCAUUUGGGAUAGGGACUAUACGCUCCCCAGUGUGUCUAGGCUGAGGGAGUAUCCCCCUAUGUGAAAUGGGCUCCCAAAGUUCAUUCCCAUGUUAGGGAUAAGUACUGAUCUACUACAAGAGGCCCCAUAGAUUUCUGAGGCCUCCUCACUGACACCCACAUUCAUGGUGUCUAGAUCAGUUCCAUGCUGGUUUUCCAGUGAUCAGUCCAGGGACCAAGAGCUCCCCCUUGCUAAGGUCAGCUGUUUCUGUAGGUUUCCCCAGCCUGGAUUUGACCCGUUUGCUCAUCACUCCUCCUUCUCUUCAACUGGAUUCCAGUUCAGUUCACUGUUUCGAUAUGGGUAUCUGCUUCUACUUCCAUCAGCUACUGGAUGAAGGCUCUAGGAUGGCAUAUAAGUUAGUCAUCAAUCUUAUUAUCAGGGGAGGGCAUUUAAGGUAGCCUUUCUACUGUUGCUUAGAUGGUUAAUUGGUGUCAUCCUUGUAGAUCUCUGGACAUUUCCCUAGUGCCUAAUUUGUCUUUAAACCUAUACUGGCUCCCUCUCUAAUGGUACCUCUUAUUUUGUUCUCCUCUAUUCUUCCCCCCUCACAACCUUCCUUCUCCCUUAUGUCCUCCUCUCCCUCCUCUUCUCCCCUUCUCAUUCUCCUAGCUCCCUCUCCCCUCCCCCACUCCAAUUUGCUCAGGAGUUCUUGUCCCUUUCCCCUUCUCUGGGGGACCAUUCAUGUCUCUCUUAGAGUCCUCCUUAUUGCCUAACUUCUCUAGUGGUAUGGAUUGUUGGCUAGUAGUCCUUUGCUCUAUGUGCAAAAUCCAUAUAUGAGUGAGUGCAUAGCAUGUUUGUCAUCCAUUUGCCUGCGAAUUUCAAGAUUCCUUCAUUUUUCUUUUCUGCUGAGUAGUUUUCCACUGUGCAAAUGUACCACAUUUUCCGUAUCCAUUCUUCAGUUGAGGGGCAUCUAGUUUGCUUCCGAUGAUAACUUAUGCUGGAGAGGAUGUGGAGAAAGGGGAACACUUCUCCACUGCUGGUGGGCAUGUCAACUUGUACAGCCACUUUGGAAAUCAGUAUGAAGAUUCCUCAGGAAAAUGGGAAUCAGUCUACCACAAGAUCCAGCAAUUCCACUCUUAGGCAUAGACCCAAAAGAAGCACAUUCAUACAACAAGGACAUUAUUCAACUUUCUUCAUAGCAGCAUUAUUUUAAUAUAACUUCCUUUUUAAGGUAUUGGAUUGAACCCAGAUUUCAUGAAUUCUUUGCUAUCUAGCAGACUUAUUUUUAUCUUUUUUUCUGGCAGAAUCUUGCUAAUUUGAACCAACUGGGCUUACCCUCACUCUAGGUAAGGCAUGCUUUGAGUUUAUAAUCUUCCUGCCUUAGCUUACAGGUCUAUGCCAUGAAGUCCACAUGAUCCUACAAGUUCCUUCACCCUCUGUUGUGCCUUCCUUCAUCUUUAACUUUGGUUCCAAAAGAUAAUAUUGUAUCUUGCCUAUGCCAUUUCCAGCUUCAAUUUUUAUCUUAAGUUAAACAUAUUAUUGAAGAUUUGAAAAACAGACAAAGGUUAAGAUGUCCUUCUCAUGAUCAGUACGAUAGCCUGUGAAUUCCCCCUAAGGAAGCUGCAUUGAGUAGCAUCCUCCUUUGUGUUCUCUCAUCUGUAUCCAAAGUAUCUUUGCAUUGUUUCAAGCGGUUCUUGCAGAUAUAUUCAGUGCAGGUUGAUGUGAGUGACACUAUUCUAAGUAAGAUAACUAGCACAAGCUGGAUCAUAUAGUAUGGUUUUCUUGUGCAUGUCAGUCCAUUUAAAUAAGUCUAUUGAAAACCUUUAUGGCUGAUUACCCAGCCAUGUCUAUUCUCCUUUUCACCCUUCAAAGUUUGUGAGACUUUAGAAAUAUUAUGUUCAUAAGAUAGAUUGACAGAAUUCAUAAUAGCUUAAAGGAAGUGAAUAUUUAGUAUCAGAUCCUGGAUAUUCUAUCUCGGUAUCUCUUCAUGUCAUGUCUAUAAAAAUUGUAUGUCAUAUCAGAAAAAUAUUAUAAUCUGCCACCCACUAGGUUUAUGCUAGUCAUUUCCUAUUUUUUUCUAAACACAAGUUGAUAUAUCAUUCAACUCUUAUUCCCAAUAUAUUUUCUCAAGAUUUUCUAUGUAAUUUGUUUAACGGCCAAAAGCAGAAUAAUCAAUAGAACAUUCAACUGAAAAGACUGUCAAGAACAUGGGUCAGGCCCUUUCCGUGGACUCAUCGCAGACCAGAGUCCUCAUCCAGUGGCUGAUGAGAGCAGAGACAGACAUCCACAGAAAUACACUGAGCUGAAAUCUGGAACUCAGUUGAAGAGAGGGAGGAAUGAAGAACGAAGGGGUCUGUACCUGGUUGGAGAAAC
ensembl:lncRNA